rnacentral:rRNA from 1 species
GUGGGGAAUUUUGCGCAAUGGGGGCAACCCUGACGCAGCAACGCCGCGUGCGGGACGACGGCCUUCGGGUUGUAAACCGCUUUCAGCAGGGAAGACCGACGACGGUACCUGCAGAAGAAGCCCCGGCUAACUACGUGCCAGCAGCCGCGGUAAUACGUAGGGGGCGAGCGUUAUCCGGAUUCAUUGGGCGUAAAGCGCGCGUAGGCGGCGCGCCAAGCGGAACCUCUAACCUCGGGGCUCAACCUCGAGCCGGGUUCCGAACUGGCGCGCUCGAGUUCGGUAGAGGCAGGCGGAAUUCCCGGUGUAGCGGUGGAAUGCGCAGAUAUCGGGAAGAACACCGAUGGCGAAGGCAGCCUGCUGGGCCGACACUGACGCUGAGGUGCGAAAGCUAGGGGAGCGAACAGGAUUAGAAACCCUAGUAGUCC